GACGAACGCUGGCGGCGUGCCUAAUACACGCAAGUCGAGCGCAGGGAACUGACGGAACUCUUCGGAGGGAAGGCAGUGGAAUGAGCGGCGGACGGGUGAGUAACACGUAAGGAACCUGCCUCAAGGAUUGGGAUAACUCCGAGAAAUCGGAGCUAAUACCGGAUAGUUCAUCGGACCGCAUGGUCCGUUGAUGAAAGGCGCUCCGGCGUCACCUUGAGAUGGCCUUGCGGUGCAUUAGCUAGUUGGUGGGGUAACGGCCCACCAAGGCGACGAUGCAUAGCCGACCUGAGAGGGUGAUCGGCCACACUGGGACUGAGACACGGCCCAGACUCCUACGGGAGGCAGCAGUAGGGAAUCUUCCACAAUGGACGAAAGUCUGAUGGAGCAACGCCGCGUGAGUGAUGAAGGUUUUCGGAUCGUAAAACUCUGUUGUAAGGGAAGAACACGUACGAGAGGGAAUGCUCGUACCUUGACGGUACCUUACGAGAAAGCCACGGCUAACUUCGUGCCAGCAGCCGCGGUAACAC
rnacentral:rRNA from 1 species